rnacentral:rRNA from 1 species
CAGUAGCCGCGGUAAUACGUAGGGUGCAAGCGUUAAUCGGAAUUACUGGGCGUAAAGCGCACGUAGGCGGCUUUGUAAGUCAGAGGUGAAAGCCCGGGGCUCAACCCCGGAAUUGCCUUUGAGACUGCAUCGCUUGAAUCCAGGAGAGGUGAGUGGAAUUCCGAGUGUAGAGGUGAAAUUCGUAGAUAUUCGGAAGAACACCAGUGGCGAAGGCGGCUCACUGGACUGGUAUUGACGCUGAGGUGCGAAAGCGUGGGGAGCAAACAGGAUUAGAUACCCGAGUAGUCCCUGUCUCUUAUAC